rnacentral:rRNA from 1 species
UACGGAGGGUGCAAGCGUUAUCCGGAUUCACUGGGUUUAAAGGGUGCGUAGGUGGGCUUGUAAGUCAGCGGUGAAAUCUCCGGGCUUAACCCGGGAAACUGCCAUUGAUACUAUAGGUCUUGAAUUAUCUGGAGGUGAGCGGAAUAUGUCAUGUAGCGGUGAAAUGCUUAGAUAUGACAUAGAACACCAAUUGCGAAGGCAGCUCACUACGGAUCGAUUGACACUGAGGCACGAAGCGUGGGGAUAAA